UACGGAGGAUUCAAGCGUUAUCCGGAUUUACUGGGUGUAAAGGGAGCGUAGACGGCGAGGCAAGUCUGGAGUGAAAGCCCGGGGCUCAACCCCGGGACUGCUUUGGAAACUGCCUGGCUGGAGUGCUGGAGAGGCAAGCGGAAUUCCUAGUGUAGCGGUGAAAUGCGUAGAUAUUAGGAAGAACACCAGUGGCGAAGGCGGCUUGCUGGACAGUAACUGACGUUGAGGCUCGAAAGCGUGGGGAGCAAAAAGG
rnacentral:rRNA from 1 species